rnacentral:rRNA from 1 species
GCCUACGGGGGGCAGCAGUGGGGGAUAUUGCACAAUGGGGGGAACCCUGAUGCAGCGACGCCGCGUGGGUGAAGAAGCGCCUCGGCGCGUAAAGCCCUGUCAGCAGGGAAGAAAAUGACGGUACCUGAAGGAGAAGCCCCGGCUAACUACGUGCCAGCAGCCGCGGUAAUACGUAGGGGGCAAGCGUUAUCCGGAUUUACUGGGUGUAAAGGGAGCGUAGACGGUUGUAUAAGUCUGGAGUGAAAGCCCGGGGCCCAACCCCGGGACUGCUUUGGAAACUGUGUAACUUGAGUACAGGAGGGGCA